GGGAUUUGGGGCCGAGGGAGAGGGGACACCCCGAUACCCCCCACCCCAAGGACACCCCCCUCACCCCGGGGUGCACGUGCGCGCAGGUCCCUCCAUGUUGCCCUCCUCAUGCAUUUCAAGCAUGACUCACAGAAAUGGCAUCUCCAGGAGCAGCCCUGCUGUGUUUCAUGGGUGGUUUUGACAACAGAGAUGAACUGAGGACUUGGAACCCACAGUCCUGACCUGGAAUUUGAGCUCAUCUCCAUCCCUUGUCCCAGAGGGAGAGGGGGUGGAACAUCUUGGGAUCUUCUGAUUGCCAUUGAUCCAAGAGGAUUUGCUGAGCAGUGGCUUCAUAUCAUGUCUGUGUGCUCCUUGAUAGAUUAUUUAAAUCUGAAAAAAAAAACCCAAAACAAACCGUGUCUUGAGAGGUGGUAAUCAGAUGCUCAGACCUAACAUCCCUCUAUCUUUCAGCCAUCUUUGAGCUGUUACCAGCAUUUCAUUAAAAAAGAAAAAAAAAA